GAGCUCGAACCGAUAACGGGGUGAUUAACAAUUACUCGAUCAAACGCACCGACGCGCGCAGGAAUGGUCGCAAUUUGACAGAGGUGUGUGGGCCGUCUGCAGCCAGCGUUUGCGCGGGGUGUGCGGUGGGUGUGUGUGUUGGUAUGGAGGCGCUUUGAUUUAUAUGACUGCUAGGAUCGGAUCGCCGCCCACCGAUUGGAUGUAUACAGGGUCUCAAUACAGAGACCGCGCGGGUAACGGUAUCUCGGCCGUUGUCGUAGCUGUCGUCGUUGUCUGCAAUUGGAAAUUGUGCUGGGGAAUUGGAGUCGAGUGGAGUGCCAUCGAGCCAUUGGAGCGCCGAGCGAGCACCUCCUUCAACCAUUCAACCACCAACCAACUAUGCCGC
rnacentral:lncRNA from 1 species